AGCCCCGUAGUCUAGAAGGCCUUUUACUAGUAAAGGCUUGGGCAUUGGCCAAGGAUGGGAGGCUCUGGACCUCCAGACCCAGGUUCGAAUCCUGGCGGGGCUACCA
rnacentral:tRNA from 1 species